AUUAUAUUUUUCUCUUAAAUGUGUCUGCCUAGAUCCCUGCAGGAAAGUUUCAGGUGAGAUAUUGGCGAAAUUAUACAACUUUCUUUAACCGAGAUACUGUUUUGCAUGUUUUUAACAGUAUGCUCUCCAACAGGUUGAGGAGAUUUACAACUUUUCGCAAGAUGACCUCUUAACUGAGGAUAUAUAUAUAUAUAUACUAGACACCCAUGCUGAAGUUUUUGUCUGGGUUGGUCAAUGUUUGGAUCCCAAGGAAAAGCAAACUGUAUUUGAGAUUGGCCGAGAAUACAUAGAUCUUGCUGGAUCCUUGGAAGGCUUGUCUCCUAAUGUUCCACUCUACAAAAUGAAUGAAGGGAACGAGCCAUGCUUCUUCACCACUUACUUUUGUUGGGAUCCCACUAAAGCAAUCGCACAAGGAAACUCAUUCCAGAAAAAGGCAGCGUUGUUAUUUGGCACUCACCACGUUGUGGAAGAUAAGUCUAACGGUGGAAACCAAGGACC